UAAGCAUACAAAUAUAACACAAUACUCUCUCUUCUCUCUCUUCUCUCUCUUCUCUCUCUCAAAUCUUUUAGAGAGAGAGUAGCUUAUUCUUCCUUUUAGCCGUCCGGUUUGUAUUUCGGCAUCUGUCCGUCAGCUAUCAGCUCAUAUAGCGGUGGUUGGAUGGCUUCUUGUCUAGCAUCGAUCGGUUCUCGCGACGAUGGCUAGCUUUAGUUUUCCUCUGGCGUUGUUCGGUUCUUUCUUUUCUCGGUUUCUACCACGGUGUCUUUGUUGCCGUUGUUUGUUUUAGUUUUUUCUUCGUCGGAUCGGUGCUGGUGGUUACGGCGUUUGUGGCGAUUUUCGCUCAAAAGUCUCUUUUCCAGUGCAUCCUUUAAGUUUGCGGUUCACGGAAAAGAUCUCUGCGCUUUGCAAAGAUAUGAAGAUGUGAAACACUUUCCUCAGCAUAUUUGGAUUGUCUUUAGCUGUUACUUGCUUUUAGAGCUUCGGUUGGUUUUAAUCAACAGUUUCUGGAUUGAUCGGAUUUUAUUCUCAUAUUGUUGGAUCUCAAAUCUCUUGAUAAUUAUAGCAAUUUGGUUGAGUUUAAACGUUAUGAAAUAUCUCCAUGUUACUGUUUUGCUAUUGCUGGUGAAAAACAGACGAUUCUACCGACGAUGUAAUCUCGGCGAUGGUUCAUUCACCGAAAAAUCGAUGUCUCCGAUAGCGAAGGUGUUGGUAUUCUCACUAACCUCACUCUCACCACUUAAGGUUUAAUCGAAGACUCAUCCUUCAACAGAAGGAUGAUGAUGGAAAUCUUGUUUUGCUCAUCUUCCACGUGUCUUGUCACGUGUCUUUGAGUGGUCUUUUACGAUCAAAAAUAUCUUCUAUAAGUGGUGCGCUGUUGGUUUCUUCUAGGCCUUUAGUUUGCUUCGUUAACAGUUCAUGUAUGUUGGGCUUUCCUUGGCCUUGUAUCAAAUGGUUUGAAUAAAGUUCACUAUUGGAGAAAAAAAAAAAAAAAAAA